rnacentral:lncRNA from 10 species
GCGGCCGCGCGGCCCCGCCCGUCGGCCUCGCUCCCGCCACAGAGCCCGCAGCACGCCGCCGCCGCAGCCUAGGUCACAUUACUAGGAAAGCCAAGUCUCUCUUCCUGGAUUUCUUCUCCUAUAAACCGCCUAUUGAUACCUACCCACUUCUCUAUGGAGCACAGAUGAAGGAUAUUGGUCAUCUCCAGCAUCUAGCACAACGUCUGCAAUGGAACAGGCGAGCUGUGAAUAUUUGUGGAAUGCAUGGGUGGACUAAAGACCUAUCACCUCACUCUAGAAUGCCCAGCAUGUUGGAGCAUGUUAAGCACUAUAUGAGCUGCUGAGGAUACAGGAAUAAACAACAACACAGGUGUGUCCUCUGCCCAAACCAGGCAUAAAUGAGCUUCCAAAUGAACACAAACAAAUCUGGAAGGCUUUUGAGGAAGAAGGACCAUUAAAAAAGCUGCUGACGACUGCCUGGAAUCUGGUUUGGAGCAUCUCCAAAGCCAACGUACUUUCCCCCAAGAAAAUACAGGAAGAUCUCUCUGCCCAGGCUUGGAAAUACAUAAGGAUCAGG